rnacentral:rRNA from 1 species
UACAGAGGGUGCGAACGUUGUUCGGAUUUACUGGGCGUAAAGCGCGUGUAGGCGGUCUCGCAAGUCGGGUGUGAAAGCCCAGGGCUCAACCCUGGAAGUGCAUUCGAUACUGCGAGGCUAGAGUCCCGGAGAGGAUGGUGGAACUCUCGGUGUAGAGGUGAAAUUCGUAGAUAUCGAGAAGAACACCGGUGGCGAAGGCGGCCAUCUGGACGGUGACUGACGCUGAGACGCGAAAGCGUGGGUAGCAAACAGG